rnacentral:tRNA from 1 species
GGAUUGGGGCUCUGUGGUAGAGUGCUUGCCUCACAUGUGUGAGGCACUGAGUUCAAUUCUCAGCACUGCA